GAACUUGCUGUCCACUACUUGGCUCCAGGACUCUGCCUCCAGCUGCUUGGAAUCUAAUUCCAGUUCUCCCAUGAGCUGUCCUUCAUUCAUGUCCGCUCCUUCACAAAGCAAUAAUCAUCACCAGGGGAUCUCAGCAGUUAAAACCAGCCACAGGAAGGAAAGAACAUGGAUCCCUGUGCAGAACUGACUGCACUGCACUACGCCUAAAAUUCCUAGAUGGAGAAAUAGGAAAAUGAAAAAGUGCUGAUAAUACUGAAGAGAACUGAAAAUCAUACUUGUAUAAACAUUAUUUAUCUUGGAGAACCAGGUUCCUUGCAUUUGAGGAAACUCGGAACUGCCAUUCGGGAUUCAGCUGGCUGCCCCUUCCCCUGCUCACAUCUACCAGGAGGAACAGAGGACUCCAGCCUGGGAGCAGUUCCCAUAAAUGCUUUGACUUAUCUCUAGGCUAGUGGAGUAAAAAAUUACUAAUAGUGAGGAAAGAAGAGCCCUGAGCUGCAGUGGGAAAAAGACAUUUUUGUCUUCAUAUUCUACAGCUUUGGGCAGCACUGUGGGCUCGACCACACAAACUCUGCUGACCUUAUCAAGCUACAGGCAUGAGAAACUGUGUGAUAAGAAAAGAGAACAAAAUCACUAAUCUGGCAGAAACCAUCAGAUGUAUUUCCUGUCCUGUCUGGACUGUAGUGCACGUACCUCACACACACACAGGUAGUUGCCAUUUGACCUGUGAUGCAAUUUCUUGUUAAAAGGGAGAAGAGGGUGAGUAUUUCCUUUUUGUACCAUGUGGUUCUGACUAAGGGCUCACCGAAGCAGUUCAGAGAACUAAAGCAAUACACUACAGAUGGGUGGGACUUUUUCUUCCCUUUGGAAGUAAAAGCCAUGAUCCAAGCCAGCUGUCCCUGUCCUUUGUCCAUCUUAUCAAAGCAGCUCAGGCCCAAGCCAUAACAUGCAGCCGAAAUAAACAAGUUCUCCAGCUGACUGACACAGCCCAACAAGGGGUAGAAAACCCCGUGGGAUGCUGUGAUGGCUGACCUCAAGCUUGGAAUGAGGUUGUAGGACACCUCCAUGCAGCCACGACUCAUUUCAGUCCAGUUUCCACAAGGCAACAUGCUGCUGCUCCAUGAAUCACUAUCUCCAAAGUCUCCCUCCCACCCUACAUCCUUAAGGAAAAUGAAAAGAAGGCGUAAGGUUUGCAUUUUCCAUGUGAGAUUCAAUGAAAAACAAAAGGAAGGGAGGGAACCUC